UGACAGAGCCAACGAGUUCAUCACCUUGGCCGAAAGGUCUGGGUAAUCUUGUUAAACUCUGUCGUGCUGGGGAUAGAGCAUUGCAAUUAUUGCUCUUCAACGAGGAAUUCCUAGUAAGCGCAAGUCAUCAGCUUGCGCUGAUUACGUCCCUGCCCUUUGUACACACCGCCCGUCGCUACUACCGAUUGAAUGGCUAAGUGAGGCUUUCGGACUGGCCUAGGGAGAGCGGCAACGUUCACCCAGGGCCGGAAAGUUGUCCAAACUUGGUCAUUUAGAGGAAGUAAAAGUCGUAACAAGGUCUCCGUAGGUGAACCUGCGGAGGGAUCAUUACAGAGACUCUGCCCUUUGGGUAGACCUCCCACCCUGUGCCGUUAUACCUUUGUUGCUUUGGCGGGCCGCGGGGCUCCGGCCCCGCCCCUGGCUCCGGCUAGGGCGCGCCCGCCAGAGGACCACCAAACCUGAAUGUCAGUGUCGUCUGAGUACUAUAUAAUAGUUAAAACUUUCAACAACGGAUCUCUUGGUUCUGGCAUCGAUGAAGAACGCAGCGAAAUGCGAUAAGUAAUGUGAAUUGCAGAAUUCAGUGAAUCAUCGAAUCUUUGAACGCACAUUGCGCCCCUUGGUAUUCCGGGGGGCAUGCCUGUUCGAGCGUCAUUACAACCCUCAAGCUCUGCUUGGUAUUGGGCGGCACCGGCCCGGUGCGCCUCAAAAACAGUGGCGGCGCCAUCUGGCUCUAAGCGUAGUACAUACUCUCGCUACAGACGCCCGGUGGAUGCUGGCCAGCAACCCCCAAUUUAUCAAGGUUGACCUCGGAUCAGGUAGGGAUACCCGCUGAACUUAAGCAUAUCAAUAAGCG
rnacentral:rRNA from 1 species